CGUGUGGUUGGGGUUGCGAGGUUUUCUGGCUUCUGGUCUCUCCCGGGAAGUUGGGCUGUGUUUAGCUCCUGAAUUUUGCAGAGCUGGCAUUCCACACGAAGAGGUCACUCAACUCCUGAGGCGAAGCACAAAACGCCGGGGGCGGGAGUAGGAGGGAAGGGGAGGGAGCUUGUGGGAAAAAAGUUUCGGGCUGUUUUCAUAUCUGUGGAAAAAGUUUUUGGUGUGACUACGUUUUUGUGGGACAUCCAGACCGAGGAGAACGGGCGCCCUGGCGUUUUUCUGGACCCGGAGGUCCCGCAGCUAACACCAUGGGAAUCUGAUAGCAGUUCCGCCGACUGACGCCCCAGACUGUGAGGGCGCCUGCCAGGGGGAAACGCGCGUCCCGACCUCCGCGCCGGGAUGGGGCCGAUGUCGGGUUGAAGGCCGCCUCCAGAUCCUCGCAUUGUCCCUGCGAGGAACGCGCUGGCUUGCGGGGCGCCCACUGCCGCUUCUUGAGGUGGAGCUGCUGACAAGUGGACUUAACGGGGCUGCUUUUCGCUUCCACCCCCUGCCUCUCCUCUUUCUCCUCGAGGGAACUGGGAGCCGGUCUAAUAGCAUUUAAAAGGGACGUGUAGCCCCUCCGAGUCUCCGUCAGCCUGGGGCUCCCGGAGCCCGAAGGCGCGCGCCCGGCCGAGAGCGCAGGGAAAGCGCAGCCCCGGCGUUGUCGUUGGCGCGCGCGUGUCUGUGUACGUGUCUGUGUGCGCGCGCGUGUGUAUGUGUCCGUGUGGGUGCGUGCGUGUGGAGGGCGGGGUGGAAGGUUGGGAGUGGCUAGUACGAAAGCUGCGCCUUUGCUAAUUGCAGCGCGUCAUUAUUUAUCAGUACGGUCUUUGGGAGGUGAUUAGGCCAUGAGGGUGGAGCCCUCAGGAAUGGGAUUAGUGCCCUCAGAAAAGAGGCUGUAGAGAGCAACCUCACUCCUCCUGUCAUCCAUGGGAGAAGAUGCCCAUCUAUCAACCAGAAAGUGGACACUCACCAGCCAUGAACCUGUCAGCACCUUGAUCUUGAACUUCCCACCCUCCAGAACUGUUAAGAAAUAAAUUCCUUUUGUUUAUAAGCCA